UACGGAGGAUCCAAGCGUUAUCCGGAUUUAUUGGGUUUAAAGGGUGCGCAGGCGGGAGAUUAAGUCGGCGGUGAAAUUUUGCAGCUAAACUGUAAAAGUGCCUUCGAAACUGGUUUCCUUGAGUGUAGAUGAAGUAGGCGGAAUUUGUGGUGUAGCGGUGAAAUGCAUAGAUAUCACGAGGAACUCCGAUUGCGCAGGCAGCUUACUAAACCACUACUGACGCUCAUGCACGAAGGCGUGGGGAUCAAACAGGAUUAGAUACCCUGGUA
rnacentral:rRNA from 1 species